ensembl:rRNA 5S_rRNA 5S ribosomal RNA
GUCUGUGACCAUACCACCCUGAAUGCACCUGAUCUUGGAAGCUAAGCAGGGUACAGCUGGGUUAGCUUGGAUGGGAGACUGCCUGGGCAAUACAGUAGUCUAAGAUU